rnacentral:rRNA from 1 species
AUGGCGUUCUGGGGCGUGGAGGUGAAGCCCGGGAAGCCGUACACCCACAGCUACAACCCUUCCCAUGGCCGUCUCCGCAUUUGCCAGGCCACAUUGGGCAGCUGCGAUGCUGCUACAAGGACAGUGGUGCAAUGCAUUGUGGGCAACAAGAAACCCAUCAUACUUUGUAGUUUGAAUCCUAAAUUGGCUGAGAUGUGCCAUCUCGAGAUUGAGUUGGAGGAGGUCGACGAGGUUCUGUUUUCAGUACUUGGCCAGAGUUCUGUGCAUCUCUCAGGAUAUUACCUCCGGCCAGGCAGUAGGGGCAAUGCAGGGGAUGAAGACUCAGAAUCUUAUGGAGAGGAUGUUGGAGAGUCUGAUACAGACCAAGACUAUGAAGGGAGUGAGGACAGUUAUGAAUCUGACUUCAUUGAUGAUGGUGACAAUGAAGUACCCGAGGACAGUGAUGUUUCUGAUUCUAUGGAUGAUGGUGAUGUAUGCUCAACCCCCGAUCACCGCAAGCAAGAUUCUGAAAAGCAUGCUCGUAAGGUUAAAAGACAGCGGCGCUUAAAGAAGAAGCAACAAGUUGACAGCUCCGCUGACAAGAUUGCUGAUUCUCCAUCAAAGCCUGCUGCCAGGCGCAAACGUGGCUCAAUAUUUGAUAGUGCCAGUGAAGAUGAGGACUUUUUGGCCCAGAGUGAAGAAAACUUGCCUACGCCUGUUUCCUUGGCUAAGAAAACUAAUGGUAAAGUUUCAGAGGAAAACAAACCUGGAAAUGUUACGUCGAAUGAUGAAGCCAAAAAACGGAGUAAAAGUGAUAAGAAAAGAAAAAGUGAUGCCAUCAAUGAGGAUCCUGCAUCUCCAAUGGAUGUAACAGAGAUCAAUGGAUCAUCGGUUCCAAAACAGGAAGCUGAAAUAAAAAAGAAAUCCAAGAAAAAGAAGAAAACUCUAGAGGCAGAAGAUGGAAAGCAUUCAAACAACAUAAGAACAUUGGAAGAUGGGCUGGUCAUAGAAGAUCUGUCAGCAGGAAACCAAGAUGCCAAAGUGGCUUCAGAGGGCAACAAGGUUUAUAUCAAUUAUGUUGGCAAGCUGCAGGAUGGAAAAACUGUUCAUUCUAAUGGCGAGGAAAAGCCCUACAAGUUUAAGCUUGGUUCUGAGAAAGUGAUGCGUGGAUGGAACCUCGGUAUUACUGGUAUGUGCGUUGGAGAGAAGAGGAGGCUAACCAUUCCCCCAUCCCUGUGCGACAAUGGUGGUAAAUUGGUCGUAGAAUUGCCCAAAGAUUCAACAAUCAUCUAUGAAGUGGAGUUGGUGAAAGUCCGGUGA